CUCAGCAGCACUGGGGAGGCCUCGG
rnacentral:piRNA from 1 species